GCAGCAGUCGCGAAACCUUUGCAAUAAGCGAAAGCUUGACAGGGCUAUCCCGAGUGCCAUCCGCUGAGGAAGGCUUUUACCCAGUCUAGAAAGCUGGGGGAAUAAGGAGAGGGCAAGUCUGGUGUCAGCCGCCGCGGUAAUACCAGCUCUUCGAGUGGUGUGGAUGUUUAUUGGGCCUAAAGCAUCCGUAGCUGGCUAGGUCAGUCCCUUGUUAAAUCCACCGAAUUAAUCGUUGGAUCGCGGGGGAUACUGCUUGGCUAGGGGACGAGAGAGGCAGACGGUAUUUUCGGGGUAGGGGUGAAAUCCUAUAAUCCCGGGAAGACCACCAGUGGCGAAGGCUGUCUGCUAGAACGCGCCCGACGGUGAGGGAUGAAAGCUGGGGGAGCGAACCGGAUUAGAUACCCGGGUAGUCCCAGCUGUAAACGAUGCAGACUAGGUGUUUGGACGGCCACGUGCCGUUCUAGUGCCGCAGGGAAGCUGUUAAGUCUGCCGCCUGGGGAGUACGAUCGCAAGAUUGAAACUUAAAGGAAUUGGCGGGGGAGCACCACAAGGGGUGAAGCUUGCGGUUUAAUUGGAGUCAACGCCGGAAAUCUCACCGGGAGCGACAGCAGUAUGAAAGCCAGAUUGAAGGUCUUGCUAGACGAGCUGAGAGGAAGUGCAUGGCCAAUC
rnacentral:rRNA from 1 species